AUUUAUAUAGUUUAAAUAAAACAUCUUAUUUUCAGUAAGAAGAUAAAUUAUUAUUUUAUAAAUU
rnacentral:tRNA from 1 species